UAGGGAAUCUUCCGCAAUGGACGCAAGUCUGACGGAGCAACGCCGCGUGAGUGAAGAAGGAUUUCGGUUCGUAAAACUCUGUUGUUAGAGAAGAACAGCGCAUAGAGUAACUGUUAUGCGUGUGACGGUAUCUAACCAGAAAGCCACGGCUAACUACGUGCCAGCAGCCGCGGUAAUACGUAGGUGGCAAGCGUUGUCCGGAUUUAUUGGGCGUAAAGCGAGCGCAGGCGGUCAAUUAAGUCUGAUGUGAAAGCCCCCGGCUCAACCGGGGAGGGUCAUUGGAAACUGGUUGACUUGAGUGCAGAAGAGGAGAGUGGAAUUCCGUGUGUAGCGGUGAAAUGCGUAGAUAUAUGGAGGAACACCAGUGGCGAAGGCGACUCUCUGGUCUGUAACUGACGCUGAGGUUCGAAAGCGUGGGUAGCAAACAGG
rnacentral:rRNA from 1 species